rnacentral:rRNA from 1 species
AUCUCAAAUCAGGUAGGACUACCCACUGAACUUAAACCUAUCAAUAGACGGAAGGAA